rnacentral:rRNA from 1 species
UACAGAGGAUGCAAGCGUUAAUCGGAAUUACUGGGCGUAAAGCGUGCGCAGGCGGCUAUGCAAGACAGAUGUGAAAUCCCCGGGCUCAACCUGGGAACUGCAUUUGUGACUGCAUAGCUAGAGUACGGUAGAGGGGGAUGGAAUUCCGCGUGUAGCAGUGAAAUGCGUAGAUAUGCGGAGGAACACCGAUGGCGAAGGCAAUCCCCUGGACCUGUACCUGACG